rnacentral:rRNA from 1 species
UACGUAGGGAGCGAGCGUUGUCCGGAUUCAUUGGGCGUAAAGAGCUCGUAGGCGGCUUGAUAAGUCGGAUGUGAAACCUCCAGGCUCAACCUGGAGUCGCCAUCCGAUACUGUCAUGGCUAGAGUCCGGUAGGGGCCCACGGAAUUCCUGGUGUAGCGGUGAAAUGCGCAGAUAUCAGGAGGAACACCGGUGGCGAAGGCGGUGGGCUGGGCCAAGACUGACGCUGAGGCGCGACAGCGUGGGAGCAAACAGG